AGUGAACGCUGGCGGUAGGCCUAACACAUGCAAGUCGAACGGCAGCACAGUAAGAGCUUGCUCUUACGGGUGGCGAGUGGCGGACGGGUGAGGAAUACAUCGGAAUCUACUUUUUCGUGGGGGAUAACGUAGGGAAACUUACGCUAAUACCGCAUACGACCUACGGGUGAAAGCAGGGGAUCUUCGGACCUUGCGCGAUUGAAUGAGCCGAUGUCGGAUUAGCUAGUUGGCGGGGUAAAGGCCCACCAAGGCGACGAUCCGUAGCUGGUCUGAGAGGAUGAUCAGCCACACUGGAACUGAGACACGGUCCAGACUCCUACGGGAGGCAGCAGUGGGGAAUAUUGGACAAUGGGCGCAAGCCUGAUCCAGCCAUACUGCGUGGGUGAAGAAGGCCUUCGGGUUGUAAAGCCCUUUUGUUGGGGAAGAAAAGCAGCAGGUUAAUACCCCGCUGUUCUGACGGUACCCAAAGAAUAAGCACCGGCUAACUUCGUG
rnacentral:rRNA from 1 species